rnacentral:rRNA from 1 species
UACGUAGGGUGCAAGCGUUAAUCGGAAUUACUGGGCGUAAAGCGUGCGCAGGCGGUUUUGUAAGUCUGUCGUGAAAUCCCCGGGCUCAACCUGGGAAUUGCGAUGGAGACUGCAAGGCUAGAAUCUGGCAGAGGGGGGGGUAGAAUUCCACGUGUAGCAGUGAAAUGCGUAGAGAUGUGGAGGAACACCGAUGGCGAAGGCAGCCCCCUGGGUCAAGAUUGACGCUCAUGCACGAAAGCGUGGGGAGCAAACAAGG